ACACUUUGCGUUCCGCGGCCCCGGCCCCUUGGUUUCCUAGUCCUGGCUCCAUUCCCCUCUCAGGCCUAGGGCUGGGACCCCUCCCCGCCCCCGGUCUUGGCCCUGCCCCCUUCAACAGACGGUCCGCCCCGGCCCCUCCCCCUCGUCCCGCCCGGCCCUGGCAGGCCCCGCCCCCUGCGGCCUCUACCUUUGACGUCUUCCCCCGGGAGGUGGCGGGGGUCUGCGACCGAAUGCCGGCGGGACUCUGGGUCAGGGCUUCUGGCGGGCCCUGCGGGGGGCAGCGAGGUGACCGUGAACCUGCGGCUCAUGGCGCGGAAAGGAGCCAGGCGGCCGCGGCAAGGUCCGGGAUCGCACAAGUGGCUGCAACCAGGCUCUAGGAGGGAGAAAGAGCGGAUCCCCCAACCCCCUCCGCCCGCCCGCCCCCCGCGAGACGCGGCGCCGCGCAGGGUCCUAGUGCCCGCUGUGCGAAGGGUUCCUGAAUCUGGCCACUUCGCUGGGAGGCCCUGGGCUCCCCAGUGCCACCCGAAGGGCCUGAGGAGGCCAUCUGCAGAAUCUCACUCUGUCGCCCAGGCCAGAGUACAGUGUCAUGAUCUUGGCUCACUGCAACCUCCACCUCCCAGUUCAAGAAAUUCUCCUACCUCAGCCUCCCAAGUAGCUGGGAUUACAAGCACAGUGCCUGGCACAUUAUCGGCACUUGAUGACUGUUGUCUAAUAACUGAGCUUCCAUACAAACCACCUGCCGUCCUGUACUGAAGGAGAAAGAGCUUCCAGCCGGGGAGGCAGGAAAUCUGGGUCCUGGUCUUGGUUGCAUCCCUGACUUCCUAAAUGACCUGGAGAAGGCCUCUGCCUCUGCUGGGAUCUUGUCUGUGCUGGGGCAUUUGUUUCCAUUUCCAAGGGCUUUUUCUUCCUCGCUCAGAAUUUGACCACUCACUAAGAGGAGCUUAGUGUGGUGUCUCACGAAGGGAUCCUCCUCAGCCCUCACCUCGGUACUGGAAGACGUCGUGCGUGUCCAAAGGCACCCCGGGGAACAUCCGGUCCACCUCGCUGGCGCUCCGGGGAUCCACCAUCUGCGCCUUCACGUCGAACCUGCGGGCAGGCGCGGAGGAGACAGGUGCUGAGCCGGCUAGCGGACGGACCGACGGCGCCCGGGCUCCCCCUGCCGGCGGCCGCGGCGGCGCUCACCUCCAGAGGCGCCGCCCGCUGAACAGCAGCAUCUUCCCCCUGCCACUCCGGAGGGCCCCGGUCACCUGGGCCACGUCGGCUCCCAGGCCCAGCUUGUCCAGACGCCUCGGGCCCAGCACCGACGCGCCUGUGUACACCCACACCUGGCGCCCUGCAGGGGAGGAGGGUCACGUCGGUUUGGGGGCGCAGAGGGAGCACGUACUCCUAGAACGCGAGGAGGGAGAUUCCGGCGAGGCCUUUCCUAGCCCGCGUGCCCGCAGUCCCUGCAACCCAGGGGCAGAGGCGCUGGGUAGAGCGACGCGAGGGCGUGGAGAGGAGGGGGCAGAAACUCAGCCGCCCCUACGUUUGCUAAACUGCGUCCGCCAGGGGGCGUAUUUUUCUAAAACGCACAAGACGUUUCGUGGGUUAUCGAUGGUCUCUUGAGCCUCCUUGACUGAUGGGGAUUGACCGGGCGGGGGAGGGAAAGUAGGUAACUAACCAGAGAAGAAGAAAAGCUUCUUGGAGAGCCGCUCCUCAAAGACCGAGUCCAGCUUGCGGGGCAGCGCGGGCCACUUGUCGGCGAUAAGGAAGGGGCCCUGCGGCCGGCUCCCCCUGCCCUCAGAGAAUCGCCAGUACUUCCUGAGAAAGCGAGGAGGGAAAGGACGGGCUCUAAGCCUUGGACACAGGGCCAGUGGGCGGGAAGGGACGGGCAGCCCCUCCGCAAAGCCCCCUCCCGCAUCCACACAACCCCGCCUCCUCACCCAUCCUUGAACAAAUACAGCUGGUUCCCAAUCUC
ensembl:lncRNA SLC12A5-AS1 SLC12A5 and MMP9 antisense RNA 1